rnacentral:rRNA from 1 species
GAUGAACGCUGGCGGCGUGCCUAAUACAUGCAAGUCGAGCGAACGGACGAGAAGCUUGCUUCUCUGAUGUUAGCGGCGGACGGGUGAGUAACACGUGGAUAACCUACCUAUAAGACUGGGAUAACUUCGGGAAACCGGAGCUAAUACCGGAUAAUAUUUUGAACCGCAUGGUUCAAAAGUAAAAGACGGUCUUGCUGUCACUUAUAGAUGGAUCCGCGCUGCAUUAGCUAGUUGGUAAGGUAACGGCUUACCAAGGCAACGAUGCAUAGCCGACCUGAGAGGGUGAUCGGCCACACUGGAACUGAGACACGGUCCAGACUCCUACGGGAGGCAGCAGUAGGGAAUCUUCCGCAAUGGGCGAAAGCCUGACGGAGCAACUCCGCGUGAGUGAUGAAGGUCUUCGGAUCGUAAAACUCUGUUAUUAGGGAAGAACAUAUGUGUAAGUAACUGUGCACAUCUUGACGGUACCUAAUCAGAAAGCCACGGCUAACUACGU